GACGAACGCUGGCGGCGUGCCUAAUACAUGCAAGUCGAGCGAAGUUUUUCUGGUGCUUGCACUAGAAAAACUUAGCGGCGAACGGGUGAGUAACACGUAAAGAACCUGCCUCAUAGACUGGGACAACUAUUGGAAACGAUAGCUAAUACCGGAUAACAGCAUUAACUGCAUGGUUGAUGUUUAAAAGUUGGUUUUGCUAACACUAUGAGAUGGCUUUGCGGUGCAUUAGCUAGUUGGUGGGGUAAAGGCCUACCAAGGCGACGAUGCAUAGCCGACCUGAGAGGGUGAUCGGCCACACUGGGACUGAGACACGGCCCAGACUCCUACGGGAGGCAGCAGUAGGGAAUCUUCCGCAAUGGGCGAAAGCCUGACGGAGCAACGCCGCGUGAGUGAAGAAGGAUUUCGGUUCGUAAAGCUCUGUUGUUAGGGAAGAAUGGUUGUGUAGUAACUAUACACAGUAGAGACGGUACCUAACCAGAAAGCCACGGCUAACUACGUGCCAGCAGCCGCGGUAAUACGUAGGUGGCAAGCGUUGUCCGGAAUUAUUGGGCGUAAAGCGCGCGCAGGUGGUUUAAUAAGUCUGAUGUGAAAGCCCACGGCUCAACCGUGGAGGGUCAUUGGAAACUGUUAAACUUGAGUGCAGGAGAGAAAAGUGGAAUUCCUAGUGUAGCGGUGAAAUGCGUAGAGAUUAGGAGGAACACCAGUGGCGAAGGCGGCUUUUUGGCCUGUAACUGACACUGAGGCGCGAAAGCGUGGGGAGCAAACAGG
rnacentral:rRNA from 1 species